UACGUAGGGGGCUAGCGUUGCUCGGAUUCACUGGGCGUAAAGCGCACGUAGGCGGCUCUUUAAGUCAGGGGUGAAAUCCUGGAGCUCAACUCCAGAACUGCCUUUGAUACUGGGGAUCUCGAGCCCGGAAGAGGUGAGUGGAACUCCGAGUGUAGAGGUGAAAUUCGUAGAUAUUCGGAAGAACACCAGUGGCGAAGGCGGCUCACUGGUCCGGUACUGACGCUGAGGUGCGAAAGCGUGGGGAGCAAACAGG
rnacentral:rRNA from 1 species